rnacentral:lncRNA from 1 species
AUACAUCUAUAAAGUCACACAGUACAGUUUAAUUAUUUAUUUAGCUUCAAUACCGUGAUAGAAAAAAGGGUGAGGUGUCCUUACCUGUUUCGGGGUCUGAAUUCGACUCUACAAUGUGCCUACAGGCUGUCCCUAAUUUUCACUAAAUUUUUCCUGGGAAACUGAAACGCACUACUGGUACCUGCACGUGUCCCAAAAAAUUCCAAAUUAGACCUAGGGCCCUUUUCGGCCAAUAUCGCAAUUUCAACACGGCGGCUCCGCUGUGCUCCGACGACGGCGGCGGCGAUUUGCCUCGGGUUGGUCGU